rnacentral:rRNA from 1 species
UUAAAUUGAAGAGUUUGAUCAUGGCUCAGAUUGAACGCUGGCGGCAGGCCUAACACAUGCAAGUCGAACGGUAACAGGAAUCAGCUUGCUGAUUUGCUGACGAGUGGCGGACGGGUGAGUAAUGUCUGGGAAACUGCCUGAUGGAGGGGGAUAACUACUG